rnacentral:lncRNA from 1 species
GCAGGGUAGAGGAGGAGCACGAGGAGGAGCAGAUCCAUGUUCUGCGAUGGUGAGCUUCAGUUACCUUUGUUCGGAUCUCUUUGUUAUUCUUCUUCACUUUGUGGAUCGUGAUGACUUGUUUUGCUUGCAGCUGGCCGCAGCCAUGCAUGGGACGCUAGGUCGAUCCAGGGGAGGCGACUGAUGCCAGCGGAUGCCAUUCUUUUCAGGAGCCACAUGAGGUUUGUCUUAAACUACUGUAUGAUUCUAGUCAUCAGUAUUCGCUACUGUUUGCUUCAGUUACCACAUGAGGUUUGCCUUAAACUUUGAUUCUAGUGCGCAUUCUAUGAUCAGAGCUGCUGGUUUUUAGCGUGUGGGAACUGAAACUUGUAACCAAGUUUCCAUGUCGCACGAAAACUUGCACCGCGGAGAACAUUUCUCUUUGCUAUCACGAUAGGCGGAAUGCU